UACGUAGGGUGCAAGCGUUAAUCGGAAUUACUGGGCGUAAAGCGUGCGCAGGCGGCUAUGCAAGUCAGAUGUGAAAUCCCCGGGCUCAACCUGGGAACUGCAUUUGUGACUGCAUGGCUAGAGUACGGCAGAGGGGGAUGGAAUUCCGCGUGUAGCAGUGAAAUGCGUAGAUAUGCGGAGGAACACCGAUGGCGAAGGCAAUCCCCUGGGCCUGUACUGACGCUCAUGCACGAAAGCGUGGGGAGCAAACAGG
rnacentral:rRNA from 1 species